CGUCAUCGAGGCCAUGCUGGAGGCGCCCUACAAGAAGGAGGAGGCCCAGCCCGGCCCUUCCAAGGCCCCAGCGGAGCCGGCCCCGGCCCAGCAGGCGCCGCCGGAGGAGCCGAAGGAGCCCAAGAAGGAGAGCGGGAGCAGCAGCCGGAAGAAGCGGAGCCGGAGCCGGAGCCGCGAGCACAGACACAG